AAAGAAAAAGUGUGAUUUUUCAAGGAAUCAAGUGUUUAAAGGUGGUGAGCUAUCUGAUACGGGUAAAAGACUACACCCGAGGAUCGAGAAUAAGAGUAUAUCUACUCCUAGUACAGCUCAGGACAAUUUGUUGAUAGUUGAUUAAGACGAGAAUUAAUCUCAGAGUUGCAUCCUAGAAAGUAAGGGUUCGUAGCCUUACAUCUUCUUAGUUAUUUGGGGACCCACGUGUCAUUGUAAUUU